rnacentral:rRNA from 1 species
UCGAAUGAGACAAGGCUACCCGCUGAACUUAAGCAUAUCACUAAGCGGAGGAGAAGAAACUAACCAGGAUGCCCCUAGUAAUGGCGAAUGAAGCGGGCAUAGCUCACGCCGCCAAUCUGAAGGCCUACUCUUAUUACAGAAGCCUUCCGAAUUGUAGUCUAGAAAGGCGCCAUCGGCCGCGUCCGUCGCUCAAAUCCCUUGGAACGGGGUAUCGGAGAAGGUGAGAAUCCUGUGCCGUGGCGGAUAGCGGUCGCACGAUGCGUCCUUGUCGAGUCGGGUUGCUUGGGAUUGCAGCUUGAAGUGGGUGGUAAAUUCCAUCUAAAGCUAAAUACUGGCGAGAGACCGAUAGCGAACAAGUACCGUGAGGGAAAGAUGCAAAGAACUUUGAAAAGAGAGUUAAAGAGUGCUUGAAAUCGGCAAGAGGAAACCCGUUUGCGCCCGGCCUCGCGUCGUCGACUCAGCCGUUCUUUUGAGCGGUGCACUUUGUCGUCGCGGGUCAGCGUUCGCUCUUUCGGCGUGACACGGCGUACCGCAGGGCCUUUUGGCGAUCGGUUCGCACUCUCGCGGGAGGGGCGUUGGCUGACGGAACGGGCGCAACCGACCCGUCUAGUAACACGGACCAAGGAGUCUGACACGUGUGCGAGUACCCGGGUGGCAAGCCCGCGUGCGUAAUGAAAGUGAAGGGCGUGCCCCGCCAACCGACCUUGAUCUUCUGUGAAGGGUUUGAGUGUAGCACAUGCGUCGGGACCCGAAAGAUGGUGAACUAUGCCUGAGGAGGGUGAAGCCAGAGGAAACUCUGGUGGAGGCUCGUAGCGAUACUGACGUGCAAAUCGUUCGUCGAACUUGGGUAUAGGGGCGAAAGACUAAUCGAACCAUCUAGUAGCUGGUUCCCUCCGAAGUUUCCCUUAGGAUAGCUGGAACUUGUAAAUAGUUUUAUCAGGUAAAGCGAAUGAUUAGAAGCUCUGGGGAUGAAACAUCCUCGACUUAUUCUCAAACUUUAAAUAGGUAAGAUAGGAUUAUUACUUAAUUUGAAUAAUCUUAUUGAAUAGAAAGUUCUUAGUGGGCCAUUUUUGGUAAGCAGAACUGGCGAUGUGGGAUGAACCAAACGUUGAGUUAAAGUGCCUAAAAAUACGUUCAUCAGAUACCACAAAAGGUGUUGAUUCAUCUAGACAGUUGGACGGUGGCCAUGGAAGUCGGAAUCCGCUAAGGAGUGUGUAACAACUCACCAACCGAAUGAAUUAGCCCUGAAAAUGGAUGGCGCUUAAACGUAUUACUUAUACUCAACCGUUAAAUUAAAUGCAAAAAUUUAACGAGUAGGAGGGCGUAUUGAUAGUAUUGAAGAUUAUCAGUGAUGGUAAUUAGAACUAUCUUUAGUGCAGAUCUUGGUGGUAGUAGCAAAUAUUCAAUAGAGAACAUUGAAGACUGAAGUGGAGAAAGGUUUCACAUGAACAUCAAUUGUAUGUGAGUUAGUCGAUCCUAAACGGAGGGUUAAUUCCUAUAAAUGAAUAAUUUAUUAUUCUACACCGUGAAAGGGAAACAGGUUAAUAUUCCUGUACUAUAUCAAGGAGCGUUAAAGUGGUAACACAAAUGAUCUCAGAAACAUUGGUAGAAUAACCAGGAAGAGUUCUCUUUUCUUUUUAACAACCAGAAUAAGCAAUUAUUCAAUUACCCCAGAAAACCAUGGAAUCAAUUUAUUUGGAGAAAUGGUUUAAAGGUUGGUAGAGCAAUUCAAUUUUUAGAAUUGUCUGGUAUUAUUCUAACAAUACAUAAAAAUCUGAGGGAAAUAAUUACUUUCUUGAAUAGUCGUACUCAUAACCGCAUCAGGUCUCCAAGGUUAGAAGCCUCUAGUUGACAGAAUAAUGUAGGUAAGGGAAGUCGGCAAAAUAGAUCUGUAACUUCGGGAUAAAGAUUGGCUCUAAAGGCUGAGUAUAUGGGUCAGAUGGAGUAAUUAUUUGGAAAUUAAUUUCUACGAGUGACUGUCGAUUAGGCAACGAAAGAUGGUUAUUUGUGGAGAUUAGUGGAAGAAUAAGGAUGCUAUUUGAUGAUUUCACGAUCAUACUGUAUACAAUUAACAGCUAAUUUAGAACUGUUACUGACCAGGGGAAUCCGACUGUUUAAUUAAAACAAAGCAUUGUGAUGGUCAUGACUCGAUUUUAACACAAUGUGAUUUCUGCCCAGUGCUCUGAAUGUCAAAGUGAAGAAAUUCAAACAAGCGCGGGUAAACGGCGGGAGUAACUAUGACUCUCUUAAGGUAGCCAAAUGCCUCGUCAUCUAAUUAGUGACGCGCAUGAAUGGA